UACGGGGGGUGCGAGCGUUGUCCGGAAUCACUGGGCGUAAAGGGCGCGUAGGUGGUCUGAUAAGGGUGUGGUGAAAGCCCGGGGCUCAACCCCGGGUCGGCCGUGCCGACUGUUAGACUAGAGUACUGUAGGGGCAGGCGGAAUUCCUGGUGUAGCGGUGGAAUGCGCAGAUAUCAGGAGGAACACCGGUGGCGAAGGCGGGAUCCUGGGCCAGUACUGACGCUGAGGAGCGAAAGCGUGGGGAGCAAACAGG
rnacentral:rRNA from 1 species